AUGAGAGGUUAAAAUGAAAGAAAGCUAAUUUUGAAGGAAGGCGAUUUUUCGUUUUUGAACAGCUGCACUCUAUUUCUUUAAUGAGUGAUAACUACAAUAAAGCUACCAGUUACCAAGGUCUAUCAUAUAAAAACUUAUUGUAGGGAUGUAUAGCAACAAAAAAAAUCACAACUAGAAUUUGCCCACCCAGGUGGUACCGAUAUGUGAAAUUUUGGUUCUUGGCUCAAGUACUAACAGGGUGAGAUAAAGGACCUUGCAGAAACUUAUAAUUUUCACUUACACUACUUUUCAAUACUUUUGAGCCUGAUCUGGCUCCAUAACCAUCCGAUGGUCACUUACCGGUAGUGUGCAUCCUGUCAUGCAUUGCGUCUUGCCAUGUAGUGUCCGAAACCGCUGGUGAUUGAGUUCACUACAUAGUCAACUAUAUAGUAAAAUAGGGGUUAGGGAUUGAGUGAUUCAUUUCGGACACAGUCUUUGCCAAUCAAAGAUGAUCCUCCCACCCUAGUGAUGAUGUCACCUACUUAAGCUCUUCUAAUACACACCCAUUAUAAAGCCUAAAAAUUGCUGAAAACUUUGUGAUGCUUAAAGCUGAAUUGUGAAAAAAAACUGUAGAAGAUAGCAAAAAAAGUGAUACAUUAUACUUCGGUGAGAAAAUUGUGAACAUUUUAAAGCAAAAAUGGGGCAAACAUGGCUGAAGAAAAAUAAUGAUGACUAGAAAAUUCCAGGGAAAUUUUGAUAUGUGCAUGCCCGCUUGCAAAUUUGCUGCUGCUUGCUGCUGAUUUACUCACAUUUAGGCCAUGUUUUGGCCAUGUUUUGAGUGGAGAUACAUGAGGGCAUUAAUGCAUUAAGGGCUACUUCCUGUUUGAGGAUGGUGGGGACUUCCAAGAUGGUGGGACAUGUUUUUAGAGUGGGGUCACGAGGGGACAUGCCAAAUAUGGUUCUGAUAUGUCAAAGCGUUGAUGAUUUAGGGCCUUUGACAUGAAUCUGACUUGACACUCAAGGCAAUCUGUCUGUCUCUGUGUUGUGGUGUCUGGAAGACAGCUGUCAAUCAAGACCAGGUGGGCGGGGCCUGUGUUCUAAGUGGGAAUUGUCUCCAUGGUGACAGUGCACCUGCAGCUCACCCGUGACACAGACUUUGGCUGUGUCUCAUUUCAGAGACCGCAUCGGGAUAAGCGCGCUUAAGCUUAAGCACGCUUAUCCCGAUUAUCCCGAUGUUAUGUGCCAUUAUGCGCUGUUAUGUACCCUUCCUGUGUCCCAUUUCAGAGACUGCAACCGUCGAACGGCGCAUUUGAAGCGUGCGUGAGGUCAUCACGCGGCACGAAUGGUGUCCCGUUUGGCACAAAAUGCUAAGCGCACUUUAAAUUCGGUCUCAAAACCACACUGCCCCGCCCCUUUUUCAAGCGUGCAUUUAUGCACGCUUUCGUGCCGUUGGUAUCCCAGAAUUCUUUACUUGCCGCUGCACAGCUGCGCAUUUUGGGUGAGAGGCUGGACUCACUUGGAGACGCAGCGCGUCUUCAAAGAAAAUACAAGAAAACCAAAAACAGCAGACAGUCAGCUCAUGCUGCAUGAGCGCAUGAUCUCUGAACUCACUAAAAUCUACAAAUCAAACAUUACAGUGUUUAGAGACAACUGAUCCGCUCUGCUACAACAAUCAAAAACAUUAGAAAUAAGAAAGCUGACAAAACUACAGCAGAGUAUCAGGACAACAUAGAGUCUUUUUUUUUUCUUUUAAGAUUAAGAGAUUAAGGUUUUACAUUUAGUAAAAUAAAGUCAUAAAGUAAAUAAAGUCAUAAAGUUGCUUUUGUGGAGGGGAAAUGACUGAAGCUGGUCAUCUGCAGGGUUAUCGAUGGAUGUAUCAGCGGGUCAUUCAGAGAGUUUUUGUGGUUUCUGAAGAAACAAUCCAACUGAUGAUCAACAUUUGUGAUCCAGAGGGAGUCGAGCUCCGACGAGCACCACGUCUCUGACACCGGUGGUAACCUACACCUGUAGAGACACCAACACCUUAUUAUGGCAUAUGGAUUCAUAUCAUAAACUAAAGCUCAAUGUCAUUCAUGGAAAUUUACGGCUGCAUAAACCGAUAUAUCCUCAGCAUAUCCAUUUCUGCCUCCACAAAAGCAGCGAUUUACUUCAAGUACACCUGUUUUUUUUCCCUGUGGAAAAGAUGUAUUUCUCAUAUAUUCUUUUUUAAGUCUUUAUACUUAUGACAAUGUGAUGCUGAUGUGCCAGAGGAUGAAGUAUCUCCUUGUUUGUGAAACCUAUACUGAAGCACAGUUCCUUCAAAUGCUUCAUGGCCCUAAUUUUAACAAAUCUCCUCUGAAAUAACAGGUUACGACUUUAUUCUCAAAAAUUAAUGACUUUAUUCUCGUAAAUUCACGACUUAAAUCUCGAAGUCUUUUAAAAAAUUCUCAAUAUAACCCUCAUACUCCUUCAUACAAAACAAUCAUUGGAUGAAUUUUGUGGGAAUUAUCUGUGCUUGUAUGUAUCCACUAUUUUGUGUCUGUGCAAGGUUGCACAGUUAAAACAAUAAAUGCUGCGCUCCGCGGGUUUUCUCUAAGUCAGUCAUGACGCGAGCCCGAGGGCAGGGACAUUUGGCGACUCAACCAGGAAGUCCUCCGAAGGUCGCCAAAUGUCCCCGCCCUCAGGCUCACAUGGAUUGGAAAAAACUCUUGACUGUGAGCGAUUGCUUGAAUACAGCUAUGACAUAUUAGAAGGACAAGUUGCUACGCUUUAUGGUUUAGACAGGAGCGUGAGUUGUUCCGAGAAAAUGAGCAACAGUCUGAUGUGGAGCAUUUGUUUACUUUUUGAAUGGAGGUGGAUGGGGGUGAAACAGGUACCUCCUCCUGAACAAAAACCUCGUAGCUUGAAAAGUGAGCAUUUCACAGCUUAAAAAUCCACAUUUUCUGUCUGGCUGGUAGAUUUCCUACGUUUUGAUUUGUGUGUGUGUUGAGUGAAAAUUGUGGCAAUGGCAGCGAUUUAGAAAUUAAAAAUUUAGAAAUUACACGUUCAAUAUAAUGGCGUGAGAGUGGUUGUGUGAUAAAUUGUGUAGUUUUUGUAAGUGUGUGAGGAAGAUUAGAUCUUGGGCGGCCGCUUAUAAAAUGGAAAAUCAGUAGAAAAAGUAUAGGAUAUUUACUGACAGGCCGUUUUAGGUUCUUGUUAAUAGCAGUGAAUGAGAGUUGAUAAUAAAGAAAGAAAGAAAUGACCGAAGGCAGCUUUCGAAAUCACCACACCCGCUCCACAGACCUACUCGUUAACCAUUUAGCCAAACUGCUGACUCACUCUUACCACAGCCACGGAGCGGUAUUAAUUGUGCGUGUGCAUGCCUGAGCACGCACAUGCUUUUGUCAUGCGUGCCUGUGUUUGUGCCUGUGUGUGUGUGUGUGUGUGUGUGUGUGUGGGGAUGGGAGGGGCACUGUGUUGGCGUGAUCGUGGCUGUGUAAUGAAUUGUGUAGUUUUUGUAAUGUGAGUGUGAGGAUGAUCAGAUCUAGGUUGGCCACUUAGGAAAUUGAAAAUCUGCAGAAAAAAAGCAUAACAUAUAUACUGACAGGCUAUUCCUUGUCCUUCUGAAUGGCAAUCAAUGAGAUUUGAUAGUAAGGAAAUUAUCAUAUAACCGGCAUCGGGUUUCGAACCCGUGACUCCCGCGUCACCAUCUUGUGCGUUGACCAUUUGGCUAUGGAAAAAUGAAUAAAUGUGUUUUUCAUGGUUGUUUGUAAGCAGUACAGUUGUAUUUAGAAAUAUUAAUGUUAUUAUUUAAUAACUCACAUACUGGACAUGGAAAAAUAUUGAUAUGUGUCAUUGGUGGUUGUGUUUAUAUGCAAUAUUGUUUGUACAUGUCAAUUGUGUAUUUCAUAGUGAAUGUAAUUGGAAUUUGUGAUAACGUGAUGUGGAACACCAGGAAAUUAAUACAUGAACAUAAAGUAUUGUCAGCUUUACAUUGGUAUGCUAAAAUCAUUGAUAUACGUCUAGAUAACAUGUGUAGUGUAAUACUACAAUUGAUGUGAAUGACUAUAGGUGAAUGACUGCAUUUAUAAUAACUUGUACUGAGAGAAUACAUAUGAAUACUGCUGUGCUUGUACUGUAUAACAUAGAACAAUGUUAUGACAAGAGGACUGGAGAAAUUAUUGAAAACUGUAGUGACAACUUAUGAGAUUGUCAAAAAGAAAAGAUGUAAAACAACAGUAACAUAUGACAUUGGAGAUGCCAUGUGACCCACAGUUAUUGCUUGCAUAUGUAGUAUAUUCCUACAAACCUCCAAAUAAAUAGUGUUUUCCU